rnacentral:rRNA from 1 species
GAUGAACGCUGGCGGCGUGCUUAACACAUGCAAGUCGAACGGGAAUCACUUCAUUGAGCCUUCGCAGGAGUUGAUUUGAUUCUAGUGGCGGACGGGGGAGUAACGCGUGGGUAACCUGCCUUAUACAGGGGGAUAACAGUCAGAGAUGACUGCUAAUAUCGCAUAAACGCACGGGACCGCAUGGUCCGGUGUGAAAAACUGCGGUGGUAUAAGAUGGACCCGCGUUGGAUUCGCUUGUUGGUGGGGUAACGGCCCACCAAGGCGACGAUCCAUAGCCGGCCUGAGAGGGUGAACUGCCACAUUGGGACUGAGACACGGCCCGGAAUCCUACGGGAGGCAGCAGUGGGGAAUAUUGCACAAUGUGGGAAACCCUGAUGCAGCGACGCCGCGUGAAGGAAGAAGUAUCUCGGUAUGUAAACUUCUAUCAGCAGGGAAGAUAGUGACGGUACCUGACUAAGAAGCCCCGGCUAACUACGUGCCAGCCGCCGCAGUAAAAC